UGGGGAAUUUUGCACAAUGGGGGAAACCCUGAUGCAGCGACGCCGCGUGAUUUAGAAGGCCUUCGGGCUGUAAAAAUCUUUUGUAUGGGAAGAAAAUGACAGUACCAUACGAAUAAGGACUGGCUAAUUACGUGCCAGCAGCCGCGGUAAUACGUAAGGUCCGAGCGUUGUCCGGAAUCAUUGGGCGUAAAGGGUACGUAGGCGGAUAAGCAAGUUAGAAGUGAAAUCCUAUAGCUCAACUAUAGUAAGCUUUUAAAACUGCUCAUCUUGAGGUAUAGAAGGGAAAGUGGAAUUCCUAGUGUAGCGGUGAAAUGCGCAGAUAUUAGGAGGAAUACCGGUGGCGAAGGCGACUUUCUGGCCAUAAUCUGACGCUGAGGUACGAAAGCGUGGGUAGCAAACAGG
rnacentral:rRNA from 1 species